CAGUCGCCGCGGGAAUACGUAGGAGGCAAGCGUUGUCCGGAAUUAUUGGGCGUAAAGGGCUCGCAGGCGGUUUCUUAAGUCUGAUGUGAAAGCCCCCGGCUCAACCGGGGAGGGUCAUUGGAAACUGGGAAACUUGAGUGCAGAAGAGGAGAGUGGAAUUCCACGUGUAGCGGUGAAAUGCGUAGAGAUGUGGAGGAACACCAGUGGCGAAGGCGACUCUCUGGUCUGUAACUGACGCUGAGGAGCGAAAGCGUGGGGAGCGAACAGGAUUAGAUACCCGGGUAGUCCCUGUCUCUUAUAC
rnacentral:rRNA from 1 species